rnacentral:rRNA from 1 species
AUGAGGAUCACGAUUCCGGACUCCUUACCGGAGGCAGCAGUGGGGGGAAUAUUGCACAAUGAGGGAAGCCUGAUGCAGCCAUGCCGCGUGGUGUGAAGAAAGACUUCGAAUUGUAAAGCACUUCCAGUCGUGAGAAAGGCAUAUGGCGUUAUAGCGCAUGUGUUUGACGUUAGCGACAGAAAGAAAGCACCGGGCUAACUCCGUGCCAGCAGCCGCGGUAAUACGGAGGGUGCGAGCGUUAAUCGGAAUUACUGGGCGUAAAGCGCAUGCAGGCGGCUUGUUAAGCCAGAUGUGAAAGCCCGGGGCUCAACCUCGGAAUAGCAUUUGGAACUGGCAGGCUAGAGUCUUGUAGAGGGGGGUAGAAUUUCAGGUGUAGCGGUGAAAUGCGUAGAGAUCUGAAGGAAUACCGGUGGCGAAGGCGGCCCCCUGGACAAAGACUGACGCUCAGAUGCGAAAGCGUGGGGAGCAAACAGGAUUAGAUACCCUGGUAGUCCACGCCGUAAACGAUGUCUACUUGGAGGUUGGUGUCUUGAACACUGGCUUUCGGAGCUAACGCGUUAAGUAGACCGCCUGGGGAGUACGGUCGCAAGAUUAAAACUCAAAUGAAUUGACGGGGGCCCGCACAAGCGGUGGAGCAUGUGGUUUAAUUCGAUGCAACGCGAAGAACCUUACCUACUCUUGACAUCCAGAGAACUUUCCAGAGAUGGAUUGGUGCCUUCGGGAACUCUGAGACAGGUGCUGCAUGGCUGUCGUCAGCUCGUGUUGUGAAAUGUUGGGUUAAGUCCCGCAACGAGCGCAACCCCCAUCCUUGUUUGCCAGCACGUAAUGGUGGGAACUCCAGGGAGACUGCCGGUGAUAAACCGGAGGAAGGUGGGGACGACGUCAAGUCAUCAUGGCCCUUCCGAGUAGGGCUACACACGUGCUACAAUGGCGUAUACAGAGGGCGGCCAACUCGCGAGAGUGAGCGAAUCCCAGAAAGUACGUAGUAGUCCGGAUUGGAGUAUGCAACUCGACUCCAUGAAGUCGGAAUCGCUAGUAAUCGUGGAUCAGAAUGCCACGGUGAAUACGUUCCCGGGCCUGGUACACACCGCCCGUCACACCAUGGGAGUGGGCUGCACCAGAUGUAGAUAGCUUAACCUUCCCGAGGGUGUUUACCACCCGGAGGUUCGCGGCGGUGGGACGCCUCCCCAGAUUACGAAAU